rnacentral:rRNA from 1 species
UACGUACCGUACGAACGUUAUUCGGAAUUACUGGGCUUAAAGGGUUUGUAGGCGGCCUUGUAAGUCAGGUGUGAAAUCCCUCGGCUCAACCGAGGAAUAGCGCUUGAUACUGCAAGGCUUGAGGGAGACAGGGGUAAGCGGAACUGAUGGUGGAGCGGUGAAAUGCGUUGAUAUCAUCAGGAACACCGGUGGCGAAAGCGGCUUACUGGGUCUCUUCUGACGCUGAGGAACGAAAGCUAGGGUAGCGAGCGGG